rnacentral:rRNA from 1 species
GAUGAACGCUGGCGGCGUGCCUAAUACAUGCAAGUCGAACGCUGAAGGAGGAGCUUGCUCUUUCCGGAUGAGUUGCGAACGGGUGAGUAACGCGUAGGUAACCUGCCUGGUAGCGGGGGAUAACUAUUGGAAACGAUAGCUAAUACCGCAUAACAGUAGAUAUUGCAUGAUAUUUGCUUGAAAGGGGCAAUUGCUCCACUACCAGAUGGACCUGCGUUGUAUUAGCUAGUUGGUGAGGUAACGGCUCACCAAGGCGACGAUACAUAGCCGACCUGAGAGGGUGAUCGGCCACACUGGGACUGAGACACGGCCCAGACUCCUACGGGAGGCAGCAGUAGGGAAUCUUCGGCAAUGGACGGAAGUCUGACCGAGCAACGCCGCGUGAGUGAAGAAGGUUUUCGGAUCGUAAAGCUCUGUUGUAAGAGAAGAACGAGUGUGAGAGUGGAAAGUUCACACUGUGACGGUAUCUUACCAGAAAGGGACGGCUAACUACGUG